UAUUAAAAAUUUCAUCUAUUUGUGCUCUUGAAAAUUGGCAUACCUUGACGAAAUAACAAAACAAUGACAUGCCAUAUGUACUUCAUACUAACGUACAAUGAAAAAUUUUUAAUAACAGAAAUGAAUGAAAUUUUUAACA
rfam:Gossypium arboreum cultivar AKA8401 contig_66312_1, whole genome shotgun sequence.